AUGCAAGUCGAACGGUAACAGGUCUUCGGAUGCUGACGAGUGGCGAACGGGUGAGUAAUACAUCGGAACGUGCCCGAUCGUGGGGGAUAACGAAGCGAAAGCUUUGCUAAUACCGCAUACGAUCUACGGAUGAAAGCAGGGGACCGCAAGGCCUUGCGCGAACGGAGCGGCCGAUGGCAGAUUAGGUAGUUGGUGGGAUAAAAGCUUACCAAGCCGACGAUCUGUAGCUGGUCUGAGAGGACGACCAGCCACACUGGGACUGAGACACGGCCCAGACUCCUACGGGAGGCAGCAGUGGGGAAUUUUGGACAAUGGGCGAAAGCCUGAUCCAGCCAUGCCGCGUGCAGGAUGAAGGCCUUCGGGUUGUAAACUGCUUUUGUACGGAACGAAAAGACUCUGGUUAAUACCUGGGGUCCAUGACGGUACCGUAAGAAUAAGCACCGGCUAACUACGUGCCAGCAGCCGCGGUAAUACGUAGGGUGCAAGCGUUAAUCGGAAUUACUGGGCGUAAAGCGUGCGCAGGCGGUUAUAUAAGACAGAUGUGAAAUCCCCGGGCUCAACCUGGGAACUGCAUUUGUGACUGUAUAGCUAGAGUACGGCAGAGGGGGAUGGAAUUCCGCGUGUAGCAGUGAAAUGCGUAGAUAUGCGGAGGAACACCGAUGGCGAAGGCAAUCCCCUGGGCCUGUACUGACG
rnacentral:rRNA from 1 species